rnacentral:sRNA from 1 species
UCACAGUAUCGCUGAUAGGAAUUUGUGC